CAGGUCAAUGGCUAUCUCGUCCGCCUGAAAAGCGGAAGGUCGCCGGUUCGAUCCCGGCCCUGGCCA
rnacentral:tRNA from 2 species